rnacentral:rRNA from 1 species
AAAUUGAAGAGUUUGAUCAUGGCUCAGAUUGAACGCUGGCGGCAGGCCUAACACAUGCAAGUCGAGCGGCAGCGGGAAAGUAGCUUGCUACUUUUGCCGGCGAGCGGCGGACGGGUGAGUAAUGCCUGGGGAUCUGCCCAGUCGAGGGGGAUAACAGUUGGAAACGACUGCUAAUACCGCAUACGCCCUACGGGGGAAAGGAGGGGAC